rnacentral:rRNA from 1 species
CCUACGGGUGACAGCAGUGGGGAAUAUUGCGCAAUGGGCGAAAGCCUGACGCAGCGACGCCGCGUGAGGGAUGAAGGUCUUCGGAUCGUAAACCUCUGUCAGCAGGGAAGAACGGUCACUGUGCUAAUCAGCAGUGAAUUGACGGUACCUGCAAAGGAAGCACCGGCUAACUCCGUGCCAGCAGCCGCGGUAAUACGGAGGGUGCGAGCGUUAAUCGGAAUUACUGGGCGUAAAGCGCUCGUAGGCGGUAUGUCAAGUCAAGGGUGCGUAGGCGGAUCGUUAAGUCAGUGGUCAAAUUGAGGGGCUCAACCCCUGCCCGCCAUUGAAACUGGCGUUCUUGAGUGGAAGAGAAGUAUGCGGAAUGCGUGGUGUAGCGGUGAAAUGCAUAGAUAUCACGCAGAACCCCGAUUGCGAAGGCAGCAUGCCGGUUUCCGACUGACGCUGAAGCACGAAAGCGUGGGGAUCGAACAGGAUUAGAUACCCUAGUAGUC